GAAACGCGAUAGUUAAUGUGAAUUGCAGAAUUCAGUGAAUCAUCGAGUCUUUGAACGCACAUUGCGCCCAUAGGUAUUCCUUUGGGCAUGUCUGUUUGAGCGUCAUUACAACCCUCAGCUAACCGCUGGUUUUGAACCUGAACGGGUGACACCGCGCCGGUUUUAAAGUUGUAAGCUCUGCUGGCCGCUCUGGCCAACCAGAACAUAGUAAGCACUACUUGUCCGGGUGAAGCUGAACGGUACGGCCUGAACAAAACCUACCCACUCUCAAGGUUUGACCUCAGAUCAGACAAGGAUACCCGCUGAACUUAAGC
rnacentral:misc_RNA from 1 species